CACGUAGGGGGCGAGCGUUGUCCGGAUUUAUUGGGCGUAAAGAGCUCGUAGGCGGUUUCGUAAGUCGGAUGUGAAAACUCCAGGCUCAACUUGGAGACGCCAUUCGAUACUGCGAUGACUUGAGUCCGGUAGGGGAGUGUGGAAUUCCUGGUGUAGCGGUGAAAUGCGCAGAUAUCGGGAAGAACACCCGUGGCGAAGGCGGCUUUUUGGUCUGUAACUGACGCUGAGGCGCGAAAGCGUGGGGAGCAAACAGG
rnacentral:rRNA from 1 species